rnacentral:rRNA from 1 species
UGGGGAAUAUUGCACAAUGGGCGAAAGCCUGAUGCAGCAACGCCGCGUGAGUGAUGAAGGUCUUCGGAUUGUAAAGCUCUGUCUUUUGGGACGAUAAUGACGGUACCAAAGGAGGAAGCCACGGCUAACUACGUGCCAGCAGCCGCGGUAAUACGUAGGUGGCGAGCGUUGUCCGGAUUUACUGGGCGUAAAGGGUGCGUAGGCGGAUGUUUAAGUGAGAUGUGAAAUACCCGGGCUUAACUUGGGUGCUGCAUUUCAAACUGGAUAUCUAGAGUGCAGGAGAGGAGAAUGGAAUUCCUAGUGUAGCGGUGAAAUGCGUAGAGAUUAGGAAGAACACCAGUGGCGAAGGCGAUUUCUCUGGACUGUAACUGACGCUGAGGCACGAAAGCGUGGGUAGCAAACAGGAUUAGAUACCCUGGUAGUCCACGCCGUAAACGAUGAGUACUAGGUNUAGGAGGUAUCGA